CCACUGGGAAAAAGAAGACAUAUGUCACGUUAUAGCGAAAGUUUACGACGAUAACAAAUGCCACCAUCGCAAAUUCUACAAUACCUUUGAAAACGAUGACGAUUUAACUCCACCUCCACCUCCAGUGCCUCCCAACACGAUAAAGAAAAAACGACGAUGCAGAAAAAGGAAAACGACGCCGAAA